CGACCGGCGCACGGGUGAGUAACGCGUAUGCAACCUGCCUGAUACCGGGGUACAGCCCAUGGAAACGUGGAUUAACACCCCAUAGUACCUUUAUCCUGCAUGGGAUGUGAGUUAAAUGUUCAAGGUAUCGGAUGGGCAUGCGUCCUAUUAGUUAGUUGGCGGGGUAACAGCCCACCAAGACGAUGAUAGGUAGGGGUUCUGAGAGGAAGGUCCCCCACAUUGGAACUGAGACACGGUCCAA
rnacentral:rRNA from 1 species